UAAAGCAACUAAGGGCGUAUGGUGGAUGCCUUGGGUCUGAGAGGCGAUGAAGGACGUGGUAAGCUGCGAUAAGCUUCGGGGAGCUGCACACGAGCGUUAUAUCCGAAGAUUUCCGAAUGGGACAACCUAAUAUCCUGAAGGGAUAUUACUCGAAAGAGAGCCAACUCCGUGAACUGAAACAUCUAAGUAGCGGAAGGAAAAGAAAACAAUAGUGAUUCCCUGAGUAGUGGCGAGCGAAAAGGGACAAGCCCAAACCGAAUCCGCUUGCGGGUUCGGGGUUAUAGGACUGCAUUUAGAAACUAAUGUCAAGCUGAAUCAUCUGGAAAGAUGGGCCAUAGCAGGUGAUAGCCCUGUAAGCACAAAUCAUUAGGGACGAGCAGUAUCCUGAGUAAUGCGGGACCGGAGGAAUCUUGCAUGAAUUUGCCAGCACCAUCUGGUAAGGCUAAAUACUCCUCAGACACCGAUAGUGAACCAGUACCGUAAGGGAAAGGUGAAAAGCACCCCGAACAGGGGAGUGAAAUAGUACCUGAAACCGUACGCCUACAAGCGGUCGAAGCCAGCAAUGGUGACGGCGUGCCUUUUGCAUAAUGAUCCUACGAGUUACUCCUCACUGGCGAGGUUAAGUUCUUAUUUAACGGAGCCGAAGCGAAAGCGAGUCCAAAUAGGGCGAUUAGUCAGUGGGGGUAGACGCGAAACUUUGUGAUCUAUCCAUGGGCAGGUUGAAGGUGUAGUAACAUACACUGGAGGACCGAACUCGUUGACGUUGAAAAGUCUUGAGAUGACCUGUGGAUAGGGGUGAAAGGCCAAUCAAACUGAGAAAUAGCUCGUACUCCCCGAAAUGUUUUUAGGAACAGCCUCGGGGUCAAGUUUUAAGCAGGUAAAGCUACCGAUAGGACUAGGGGGAGUCAAAUCCUACCAAAUCCUGACGAACUCUGAAUGGCUUAAAAUAUACCCGGGAGUGAGGGUUGGGGUGCUAAGGUCCCAAUCCGAGAGGGAAAGAACCCAGACCAACAGCUAAGGUCCCAAAAUCUUUACUAAGUUGAACUAAGGAAGUCUGAUUGCAGUGACAGCCAGGAUGUUAGCUUGGAAGCAGCUAUUCAUUUAAAGAGUGCGUAACAGCUCACUGGUCGAGCGAGGCGGGCAUCGAUAAUAAACGGGCAUCAAGUAAAGUACCGAAGCUUUGGAUUAUAUUUAUAUACUGGUAGGGGAGCAUUCUGAUCUGCGGAGAAGGUGAAGCGACGAGCUUUGCUGGAGCGUUCAGAAAAGCAAAUGUAGGCAUGAGUAACGAUAAUGAGGGCGAGAAACCCUCACGCCGAAAGACUAAGGUUUCCUCAGCUAUGCUAAUCAACUGAGGGUUAGUCGGGGGCUAAGGGCCUAGCGAAAGCGACAGCUUAAUGCACAACAGGUUAAUAUUCCUGUACUUACUUAUUGGGCAAAUAGAUGACGGAGAUUACAGGUUACCAGAUACUGACGGAAUAGUGUCUUUGAGAGGCGGCAGCAAUGCCAAAACGAGUGUAGUGAGUAAACUUCCAAGAAAAGUCUAGGCGUGUAUAACUUAUAAGUAACCCGUACCGUAAACCGACACAGGUGGUCGAGAAGAAUAUUCUAAGGCGCUCGAGUGAAUCACGGCUAAGGAACUCGGCAAAUUAACCCUGUAACUUCGGGAUAAAGGGAGCCACGAGCAAUCGUGGCCGCAGAGAAAUGGCCCAGGCGACUGUUUAACAAAAACACAUGGCUUUGCUAAAUCGAAAGAUGACGUAUAAGGCCUGACACCUGCCCGGUGCUGGAAGGUUAAGUGGAGAUGUUAGCUUCGGCGAAGCAUUGAAAUGAAGCCCCAGUAAACGGCGGCCGUAACUAUAACGGUCCUAAGGUAGCGAAAUUCCUUGUCGGGUAAGUUCCGACCU
rnacentral:rRNA from 1 species